GCGCGGCGCUGGGUGUCCCCCCGCCGCGCCGCCUCCCCCGCCGCCCCCGGCGGCUGCCAGGCUCCAGGAAAGUAGCUUGAUGAGUGUCCAAAGUAGCAGUGGAAGUUUGGAGGGGCCGCCAUCUUGGUCCCGGCUCUCCACGUCCCCACCGAGCCUGCAGGGCUGCUCCGCGGCGGCCUCCCAGCUGCACGGCGCGCCGCCCGGCAAGCCGCCCAAGGAAGGAGCAAUGGAUGAGCUUCAUAGUCUGGACCCAAGAAGACAAGAAUUGUUAGAGGCAAGAUUUACAGGAGUAGUAAGUGGCAGCACUGGGAGUACUGGAAGUUGCAGUGUUGGAGCUAAAGCCUCAACAAAUAAUGAAAGUUCAAACCACAGUUUUGGAAGCUUGGGAUCUUUAAGUGAUAAAGAAUCAGAGACUCCAGAGAAGAAACAGUCAGAACCUUCCAGAGGAAGAAAAAGAAAAGCAGACACUCAGAGUGAAAGCAGCCAAGGAAAGAGUAUCGGGGGACGUGGCCACAAGAUUAGUGACUAUUUUGAAUACCAAGGUGGCAACGGUUCUAGUCCAGUUCGAGGUGUACCUCCUGCAAUCCGAUCUCCUCAGAAUUCACAUUCCGCCCCUUCUUCUGUUCGACAGAAUAGUCCUUCUCCUACUUCAUUAGCUUUUGGGGACCACCCUACCACGCAACCAAAGCAGUUAUCUUUUAAAAUUACUCAGACUGAUCUCACAAUGCUGAAAUUAGCUGCACUAGAAAGUAAUAAAAAUCAAGACUUGGAAAAGAAAGAAGGUCGUAUAGAUGACUUACUCAGGGCUAACUGUGAUCUUAGAAGACAAAUAGAUGAACAACAAAAGCUACUUGAAAAAUAUAAGGAAAGGUUAAACAAAUGUAUUUCAAUGAGCAAGAAGCUUCUAAUUGAAAAGAGCACACAAGAGAAGCUGGCAAGCAGAGAGAAGAGCAUGCAAGACAGAUUACGCCUGGGGCAUUUUACAACAGUUCGUCAUGGUGCUUCAUUUACUGAGCAGUGGACAGAUGGCUUUGCAUUUCAGAAUCUUGUAAAGCAGCAAGAAUGGGUGAAUCAACAAAGGGAAGACAUUGAAAGGCAAAGAAAGCUCCUGGCCAAGCGAAAGCCGCCAACUACAAAUAAUUCUCAGGCACCAUCUGCCAAUUCUGAACCCAAGCAGAGGAAAAAUAAAGCUGUGAAUGGGGCAGAAAACGAUCCCUUUGUUAGACCCAAUUUGCCACAGCUUUUGACUCUGGCAGAGUAUCACGAACAGGAAGAAAUUUUCAAACUUCGAUUAGGACAUCUCAAGAAGGAGGAAGCUGAAAUACAAGCAGAACUUGAGCGUUUGGAAAGAGUUAGGAAUCUUCACAUCAGAGAACUGAAAAGAAUUAAUAAUGAAGAUAAUUCACAGUUUAAAGAUCACCCUACGUUGAAUGAACGAUAUUUGUUACUCCAUUUACUUGGCCGAGGUGGCUUCAGUGAAGUGUACAAGGCUUUUGAUCUUUAUGAACAAAGAUAUGCUGCUGUGAAGAUUCACCAGCUUAACAAAAGCUGGAGGGAUGAAAAGAAAGAAAACUACCACAAACAUGCCUGCAGAGAGUAUAGAAUACACAAAGAACUGGAUCACCCUCGGAUAGUUAAAUUAUAUGACUACUUCUCCUUGGAUACAGAUACGUUUUGCACGGUGUUAGAAUACUGUGAAGGCAAUGACUUGGAUUUCUAUCUCAAGCAACAUAAAUUGAUGUCAGAGAAGGAAGCUAGGUCCAUUGUAAUGCAAAUAGUAAAUGCACUACGGUAUCUCAAUGAGAUCAAGCCCCCUAUUAUACACUAUGAUCUUAAACCAGGUAAUAUUCUUCUUGUAGAUGGAACAGCAUGUGGAGAAAUAAAAAUUACUGAUUUUGGCUUGUCCAAAAUAAUGGAUGAUGAUAGCUAUGGUGUGGAUGGAAUGGAUUUAACUUCACAGGGAGCAGGAACUUACUGGUACUUACCUCCAGAGUGUUUUGUAGUUGGCAAAGAGCCACCAAAGAUUUCUAAUAAGGUUGAUGUAUGGUCAGUUGGAGUAAUCUUUUUCCAGUGUCUUUAUGGUAGAAAGCCAUUUGGCCACAAUCAAUCUCAGCAAGAUAUCUUACAAGAAAAUACAAUAUUAAAAGCCACAGAAGUCCAGUUCCCUGUUAAGCCUGUUGUUAGCAAUGAAGCCAAGGCCUUUAUCAGACGCUGCUUAGCAUACCGAAAAGAGGAUAGAUUUGAUGUCCAUCAACUGGCUAAUGAUCCUUACCUUCUCCCCCAUAUGAGGAGAUCAAAUUCUUCAGGAAACUUACAUAUGACUGGGCUAGCAGCAUCCCCUACGCCACCUACUUCAAGCAUUAUUUCAUACUGAAAUUUCUCCAACUGAGGAAUGGCAUGAUACCUUGGUGUAGUUUCCAGAUGCAGACGUGAGCUUGAGAACAUUUGGGUGUUUUUACGCAGGACAAGUUUGAUAACUGUGUUUUCAGGCUGAAGUCCUCCUACAUAGUGUUGUUUGUAUGAUUGGAAUGGGUCAUGGACUGUGAAUAGAUAUACCCUUCAGAGAACAACCUUUAAAUGUUGAAGGAUGACAUUGCCUGUUGCACACUAACAGCAUACUGGGACUGCAUCCUUUCCAUCGUCUGCCAGUGUGAAACCGAGGUGUGGGGUUCAAGGAUUUUGCCAUGGCUGCAUGCUAACAUUAGAUUUCAUUAUAUCCUCUUCUGUGUCUUGGAAGUUAUAGACUGUUUUGCCUAAAGAAAAGAGAAUCUGGGAAUAUGGGCAGUGGUGGCUGAAUACAUGACAGUUACUCCACCUUGACAGAUGCUUACUUCUGAAAUCUAAACACUUAAUGCAUUUUCAUAUAUGCACAUGAAGAAUCACUGUGUCAUCUUUCAAAUCGAAGUUGCAAGAUCUUAACACAAGCACAACCCUGUGUAUUGGAGGUAAGCAACUUAUGGUACUGUCAGUAAAAAUUUUGUAUCCCCACGUGGAUUUAUUCUGUGUUCACAGCACGUCCAAGUUGGUGUCUGAUGACUGAUGCUCAGCAAUUUGUGCUUGGGAUAGAAGUACCCUUGAGACUGAAUCCAGAAGCCUGAAUUACUGCGACUUGUCGAGAAAUGCUGAUCACUUCUAGGCUUACAGCUGUGGCUCAGCGGCAGCUGGCAGAGCUCUCUCCACUGAUUUCAGCACUGGAAUACCUUCCCCGUGUGCCUUUCUAUUGAAAAGCCAGCUUAUGUGAAGCAGGGAGGAAUGUCUGGAGCAGAAGGUGGAGAAGAAUGUUCUGGUUUAUGUAAUCCCUCUUACUGGAGCAGCAGUUUCUGUACCCAUGUGGAAAACCCAGAUGCAGGGGAUGUAUCCAGCACUGCGCAGAAAUGUACCAGCAACUAAACUGAGGCAAAUAGUUUUCAAGCCAUCUUGUUCCAGCAAGAUGUGGUGGUAAAAGUUAUCCCCAGUGAGGAAGUACCUGGCCCAGAGUGUAAAUCCUUUUCAGGGGUGCAGAGUCAGCAUUAGUAACUGACAGCAAAGUUACAGCCAACAGCCAUGCCAGGUGCUCCUUCUGCAGUGUAACCUUAAAAAAUGCCAUUUCAUGUGGCAUUACAAAGACCGUGCUGGAGAGUAAAAGAUAACCUCUUGCCUCUGGUGAGGCAAACAAAGCCUGGGAACAGUACAUAUCUACCACUAUCAGCUGAAGUUUCAAUCUGAGAAUACCCUCCAGCUCAUCCAUAGAUUUGAAGCUUCCACAGCAGCUAGGUGUGACACUGGGGCGUGGUGGUGCGGGGUCGAUGGUUGGACUAGAUGAUCUUGGUGGUAUUUUCUAGUCUUAACGAUUCUAUAAACUUCAGGUGCCACUUUGUGUCUCUUUUACUGAAAACCCCUCCUGCUUCUCAUCUGCAUCUCUGAUUUGCUUCAGGCUCCUUUUUACUAAGUUUGAGGGCUUAGUCUCUGUUUUACAGCUGUGCUGCAAACUGCAGCAGUAUCUGUUCUUUCCUGUGAGGUGGCACAUUAAUGACUACGUACAUUCCCAUGGCAAUAUGUGGCAGUGUGCUUGUGCCCACCUACCAGUGGGAUGAGCACCACCCUACUUGGCCUCUGUGAGCACUGCAGCCAGCACCCUGCUCUCUCUGGCUGCUCAUGGGAUAGUGCUUGCUGCUCCAUCUAGCCCUCCUCCCUGUGCAAUCACUGAUUGCCUAUCACCCGCCCAGCCAAAGCAACUCAAAGAGGAGGACUGCAGUGCCUGUGAGUGCUCUGCUGGGGGGGAGGAGGGGAGCGAGAGCAUCCCACAAAACAGCAAAUGUUUCUCGUCUUGCUCCAGUAAUUCAGCACAGGCUUGUGCUUUGGAUUGCUGAACCCAAGACUUUGUUUCACCCUUUUUUAAUGGGGAUUUGAACAAUGUCGCUCUGAACAACUGUUGAGCACUUCUCUGUUAAGAUAGUUAUGCUGAUUAAUCUGAGACAUAUGUUUAUUAACUGGAAGGCCAUCUGGCUUUUCUGUCCUUUAACAGAUCUCUUUCAGCCUCUUGCUUCCUAUACAUCACACAAAACAAAAAAAACCCUUACUUAUUUUUAGCAAGCCUGUGCUAGCUUUUGAGAAUGACAGUGCAAGGCACCAUCCAGAAAUGAUGUGGGCUUCCUUUGGGUGAGUAAGGAAAGAAGAAAAUGGGGGCAGGAGAUGGGAUAAAAGUCACGAAUCUGAGAAUCUGAGAUGCCCUUAGGCCUUAGCCUGGAAUAUUUCCUCUGUAGCACAGGAUAUGGCAGCAGGUGCUGCCGCAGCGGGUCCUUUCUGACAGGGCCUGUUCGUAUUCAUACUGAGACAGCGUCCAAAGCAGAGGCCUGCGGGCUGAAGGUGGGCACAGCAAGGACGGUACCCAGUGCUGCCAGCUGGGGCGUCCCAGGGGCAGCCAGGUAAGGAUGUGCUGCGAGGCCUCCCUGAGAGCUGUGUAUGGCAGUUCCCAAGAAGCAUUUCAAGAACAUUUCACUCAGUACCUCAAGGUUUUGGCUGCUUCACCCCAACUCCCUCAAAGCCUUCCUGUUCCUUUAUGACAUGCAGUUUUAGGAUAGAAAUAAUCAGAAGUAUAAUAGUAUAAUGCAAUCCAGAAGGAUGUUAUUUUUAUUCUUUUUUCUUUCUUUUUUUUGGCUGCUGGGAAUGAAAACGGACAAGAAAUGUGUUAGGAACAGUGCGUUCCUUUCCAUUGUUACACAAGGCAUGCCCAAGAGCAAGAAGCGUGGUUUUUUUCCUUUCUCUGACCAGGUGUUGCUUAUAAGCUGCACAAGAAAUACGUUUCAAAUAAAAAACAUAACCCUUAAACAAAAGGUAAUUGUUUUACAAAUUCAGACAUUUCCAGUGCUCAGCAUGCUCUUUGGCAAUACAGAGGCUUCCAGUUGCUUCCUAUUUUCUUAGCAGUUGCAUUCCAGCAGGAUUUUAUCCAAGCACUGUUUAUAUGUACAGGAACGUCUCUUAAUGUCUGAGGGCUGAGCCUUAGGAAGCUGCUGCCACUGCCUGUGACCACAUUUGUUCCGCUCCCUGGUUUGUGAGAACUCCAGCCCACCUGAGGGCACAAACUGCAUUGGGAAAUGACUUCUCAUACCUUUUCAAUUCCAGCCUUACCAUCACGAAGGAUCAAACCCAACCGGUGCCUGCUGACUGUUACAAUCGAGCCAUGGACUAUAGCAUUUUCAACAUUCUCUUCCAAAUUCUAAUGUUCCAUAGGAGGACUGUUUUGAAGAUUGAGAAAAAUGUAUUUUCCGGGGAAAUCAGCUUGGAGGAUAAGGCAGAGAUGGUAGCAAGGUGGACACUGCUGACUCUUAGCUACUCUCUGAGCUGUGUGAUACAGUGCACGCAUACUGCAGUGAGAAGAAAUCAAAGCUAUUUCUUUAACACCAGCCUCAGCAGCCAUCUCCUGGCACUGCAGCAGAGACUCAAGCUGCAGAAUGCACCUCUUCAACGUGUGCAUGUGAUUACUCAAGCAGAGCUGUAGCUGUGCCCCUGCACUUGCAACAAACAUCUCAACCACUGAACAGCACUGGCCCCAGAGCAGCCUCCUGUGGAACAGGAUGCUCCACCUUACACUGGGAGAUUACAGCUGAAGUUCUGCGCAACCGAAUCGCUUCCACAUUUGAAGCUGUGUUACCUUUAGCAGAACUGCUUCUGGCUACACUGAAACACUGCCUUGCUUCCAUUACUCUCAUAAUCUUCACAACGUGGAUAUAUAAAGCAGUCAAGAAAAGACCUUAAAAUAGCUAACAGAAAUGCAUGACUUCAGCCUAAGCAUUCUAUUCUAUUUUUUGGCUACUGGAGACAUCUAUGCAACUACAGAAGUCAACAGCUUGCAGUUGGAAAGCAUAAAACAUACCAGCUAACCUGAGAUGUUACUCCACAGAACAUCAUUCCACGCUAACAACAAAAAAGGCAUUAGGUUAUGAUCAGCAUCCAGUUAACAAUUGCUCUACAUUGGGUAUGUGACAAAACUUUUUUAUUUCUACUGCUCUUGGAUAAGAGAGGAAAGCAGCUUUGUCGAGGGCUCUGACUGGGACAUUGGGUAAAGAAGUUCUAGGAAAGGCUGUAAGGCCAUUGAGGCUUUAUGAAGCUCAGGAAUAGCAGACGUUCUUUAUAUACAGCAAAGAGAAGAGGGAACAUCCUUAUUACAAAAAGUUUAAUUCUGAUAUAUUUGAUACCGGAGUUACAAAAUAAAAUAAAUCAAAAGAUACAUUCUGAGAAGCUCUGAGCUCUGUAUUUACCAAGGCAGAGGGACUUCAAACUCCAAGCAGUUGAGAAAAUAAAUUGCUAGCAGUGUGAAAAAGGAUUUGGGGAUCUCCAAAUAGAUAAUAGGUGAUGAGGGAACAUGCAGUGGUGGGCCAGAGGAAAGACAAAUUCUUAAGGGAUAAAGAUAAGACAAGACAACAAAUGUUAGAUAAGGCUUUCACUUGAACUAAUUUGAAAUGUUAUGAUCAGCAAUCAAAUGCAACUACUAUUCUUAAGAGUGAUCAGUCCCACUGCACUGCCAAAAGGAGACAAGCUCCAGAUAACUUGAUGACAGCUAGAAGUGAGACCGUGGUUGAAAUAAGCAUGUAUAAGUGAAAUUCCAGUAGUACAGAAGGACUGGAGUAGUGUGGAAGCAUCUGACCCCAGGAGCUGAGGCUGUCGCUGGAGUACAGCACACAUACCAGACUAUACAAAGUGUUUCAUCUGCUCUAAUUCCACAGUGUUCAUCCUGAACAUCGGUUUCAAAAAAACAUCAAUUACUUGCAGGCAGAUUUUGUGACUCACUGCUACAGCAGAUCUAACCACUGCUGCUCCUGCCUGCAUGCUGAAGUCUGGCAUUCCUUCUUGGAUCCAUUCCUCAGGAAAAGAGCCUUUUUACUGAUUUGUACUAGAGAGCUGAGCUUAAACCAGAAAAUCUUACAGUAUUAAACAAAUAAAUGUGCUAUUUUGUCACAGAGGAUGAAAUUCCAGGAAUUUAUUGCUGUAUGUCUGCUUAAUCCAUUAAUUUGUCUUACAGUAGUCAUGAAGUGCCAAAUUGUGUGCUACAUGUAACAUAUCCUGUAUUCCGUUUCAAAUGCCAUUUUACAGUGGGGGUGUGAAGCAGCACAGCAGCAGUCACAAAACAUGGCUUGAGCUUCUCUUCAGGAGUUUAAAAAUAAAGACUUGUAUACAAGCUG